AGUUUGAUCCUGGCUCAGAACGAACGCUGGCGGCGUGCCUAACACAUGCAAGUCGCGCGGGAAAGUUCCCUUCGGGGAGCGAGUAUAGCGGCGCACGGGUGAGUAAUACGUAGGUAACCUGCCCUCGAGACUGGGACAACUUGUCGAAAGACGGGCUAAUACCGGAUAAGACCACGAGAGCUGCGGCUCUUGGGGUAAAAGGUGGCCUCUGCUUGCAAGCUAUCACUUGAGGAUGGGCCUGCGCGCCAUUAGCUAGUUGGUGAGGUAACGGCUCACCAAGGCAGAGAUGGCUAGCUGGUCUGAGAGGAUGACCAGCCACACUGGGACUGAGACACGGCCCAGACUCCUACGGGAGGCAGCAGUGGGGAAUAUUGCGCAAUGGGCGAAAGCCUGACGCAGCGACGCCGCGUGGGUGAUGAAGGCCUUCGGGUCGUAAAGCCCUGUCGGGAGGGACGAAACAUCGGCGACUUAAUACGGCGCCGACCUGACGGUACCUCCUAAGGAAGCACCGGCUAACUCCGUGCCAGCAGCCGCGGUAAUACGGAGGGUGCAAGCGUUGUUCGGAAUCACUGGGCGUAAAGCGCGUGUAGGCGGCCUCCUAAGUCUGGUGUGAAAGCCCGGGGCUUA
rnacentral:rRNA from 2 species